CAGCGCUGCGCUUAUGGCGGGCAUCCGGCCGUGCCUUCAGUGGGGAGCGCCCAGAAGCAGCAAGAAAAAAGCCCACAGUUUGAUGCCAGGUUGAACUUAUCGUGCCCACAUCCUUACCUUGACAGCACCCAAGUGAGCCCAAGGUGUCUACAGACAUAGCUGAGGCAUCUCAGUUAAGCCCUCAAAAUGAGAUGGGAUGAAUCUGAGACCUAUAAGCUUUCAGGUGAGUAUCCUGUUUACUUGACUUUUAUUACCUGAUUGUUUAUCCUUUAAAGCUGUUUUACACAUCUCAAUGCGAGCAGAGUGAUAAGGAACGUAACGAUCCUGCAGAGAUCCAACUAAGACAAUGUUUUUGAAGUAAUGAAGACCUACAAGGAAAAAAAUAAAGGAAAUAUUUUAUCACCUGACAGUUACUAAAGAUUGCUUUUUCCCUCCACAAAGCCACACUGCACUAAGUAAGCACAUUACACCCAAAGCUGGCAUCCUCUACAUAAUAAACAUCUCAAGGUGGAAGACAUGUCAGCCAUGCUUACUCAUGGUUUAUCUAAUAGAAUUACAGAAUAUCCCAAGUUGGAAGGAACCCACAAGGAUCACUGAGUUCAACUCCUGGCCCCACAAAGGGCCACUCAAGAUGCAAACUGUAUUUCUGAGUGUUGUCCAAAGGCUUCUUGAAUUCCAGCUCUCUGCCUUCCCUCUACCUGUUGCUGACAUGGGCAUAAACUGAAACCCAAACAAGAUUCCUUUCCUCCUUUCACAGAUUAGGAAAAUGCAUUAUUUAUAAAGAGGAGGCAUCGUGCAAUAAAUGAGCACAUCAGAAUUCUACUAAUGAAGUCCUGUAGAAGUGCUAGAACAUAUGAACCUCAGCCUAGCUACGUAAAUACAAAAAUAUCCUGGAAGAGAUCACAGCCACGCAAUUCACAUUUCUGAACCCCGUGGCAUGAAAGGAACAGAACUGCAGAAAAACCAUGUCAGUAUUAGGAAUCUGUCAUCCAUCAUAAUGCUCAAUUCCAGGAGAGUUUAUUUUGGACCAGCUCCGUCUGAUCCCGUGGAUGAAAUACGCACUGACUGCUAAAGCUCACUCAUUGUGUUCAGAAGUAAACAGGGAUGAUGUAAAAAUUUGCUUCCAAAUGAGUUUCUCAGCCAAAAUAAAGUGCAAAUGUGAGCAUAUUUUAAGACUAACCAAGUGAAUUAGAGAAGCUCGAGAAGUGCCUGGGAUGGUGCUCACAUUACACCUGAAGGCAUCUUCUCUUUUACUGCAGCUACUGCCUUUCCACUUCCUCACGCCAAAACUACAGCGUGCUCCAACUGCAAACAAUUCUGUGUUUGAAUACUGUGAUCAAAUACACAUCCUUCUUCAAUCUUCCGUGUUUUGGUUUUUAAAAGCAACCAACCAAACCAAACCCUUCUCAUUAUUGUUCUGAUGAUAUGGCGAUAAACAUCUGGAAUUUCCUAAGCUAGAUAAUUUUACCACUUGGCAUGAGAAAGUAAGAAUGAAGAUGCAGUUGUCACUUGUAGAAAAUAGUCGAGCAUAAUCCACAGAUUAAAUGGAAGCAAAAAUUAGAAGCCGUGUAGAUUCCUGAACUUCUCACUGAAUCACAGCAUGGUGCUUACUGAGCAAUUCAUUCAUGCACCGGUUUCAAGUAAUAUUAGUACUGAUUGCCAGUUAUCCUUUGGAGAACAGGUCUGCAUUACUACAGUUUUAUUCAGCUACGAGAGGUAUUCAUUUCCACCGAGGUACAAAUGCCUGAGAGCCACACAAUUAGAAUGCAGAUGACAAUAUCUGUUUUUUUUGUGUGUGUGCGUGUCUAAAAAUCUCACGAAGUUCAUUUCAAAUAAUUCAAUCUAUUUUUUGGUUGCAUAAUCAAUACCGCAACAUGAAAUUCUGUUUGCAGAGAACAGACGUUUCAUGUGGUUUUUCAUCUGUGCUGCUGCGAUUGGUUCUGUAUUGAACAGCUUGCGCGUCAUCAAAGCUGGCAACCUGCUGCAAUUCCUUGUCGCAGUAUGAAAUUAACCAUCACUUGCGAGACCCCAUAAACUACCAAACAGACAGUGGCUCCUGAAGGCAUGACAAGCAAACUGAAAGGAGAUCGUUGACAAAGAACAUAAUUGUAAAAUAUAUUGGUAUGAAGAAGUAACAUCAGAAAACUAAGUUUUCUUCUGGUUAAAGCUGCUAGAAAUGGUACUCCAACAUAAAGUGAUCGGUGCUUAAGGCAACUUUGUAUUCAGGAAUUAGCCUGAUCUCAAACUCUCUUCAUUUAGAGUUAUCCUACCACUUCUUGGUUUUUAUGAGCAGAUAAGGUCAGAUUUUGUACCUUAUCAGCAAUUACAGGUUAUGGUAAUUGUAAGAGAUAAAAUGGCUUUAACUUAAUAUCAAUUUGAAUGAUCAUGUCCAGAAGGAAAAUCUAUUGUACAUUCCUAUGUGUAUGAAACGUGUAAGCCUAAGACACAAGUUUUCAGAAUUGUUGAAGAUAAUGUAAAAGUAGGAUCUUUAAUGUUGUUAAAAGCGAUUAACAAGUUAACAUGUUAAGGUAGUUCUUUUCUAACAAGGAAACUUGGCUUAGGCGCAUGCAUUUCUUUUUACUUUAAGGACCUAACAAUAAAUAGUAAUAACAACAACUUUGUAACGUGAAGUUCUGUCACUUAGAUGAAUCACUAUUCCAGCACAUCCUGAUAUUCAAUCGGCAUAACAUGACACAGAUGUGGUUUGAACUCAUUUACUCACGUUCUGUGGCGAUUAACAAACAAGUGUGCAUCAGCUAUCUUUAAAUCAAAAAAAUCAGACCACAACUAGUGAUAAUAAGCACCUGCUUGACUAUGAACCAUGUAUCCAGUUUCACUUCAUUACUUACAGGAUAGUUACCGUUCACUGCUGUAAAAUGAAUAAAUUACAAUGCACGAAUAGCAAAUCCCACCAAAAGAUUUUUACAUCGAAGGAAAAUGGAUGCAGAAAACUCAAAGAACUUGACAAGAACAAGUCCUAUGUGACUGUUCAUAUAGCAAAUAAUGUCAGACAGACUGAUGCUGUACAUAGGAAGAGCUGCAUGACACGGAUGGGGGGAAUUUAUUCAUAAUGUAUUUAUUAUUUUAUUCUUUCCUGUUUCUUGUCAUACAAGUUUUGGAUUCAAACAUCACAGACGCUUUUCUUUCACUCUUUUCCUGCCCAAAUUUCUCAACCAGAUUUCAGCUGUGACAAUCUACAAACCUUUUGCCAGAGAAACACACCCAGAUUUUCCACUAAACACGAGCAUUAUGGGCUCCACAACUGUUUGGCGAUACACGUGUAAAAACACCUCUCAGAUGAAUCCUCAAUAAACCUUAUGAUGCUUAAUGGAAACUAA